UGAGGAAUAUUGGACAAUGGCCGGGAGGCUGAUCCAGCCAUGCCGCGUGCAGGAUGACCGCCCUAUGGGUCGUAAACUGCUUUUGUACGGGAAGAAACCCCCCCACGUGUGGGGGGCUGACGGUACCGUAAGAAUAAGGACCGGCUAACUCCGUGCCAGCAGCCGCGGUAAUACGGAGGGUCCGAGCGUUAUCCGGAAUCAUUGGGUUUAAAGGGUCCGUAGGCGGGCCGUUAAGUCAGGGGUGAAAGUCUGCGGCUCAACCGUAGAAUUGCCUUUGAUACUGGCGGUCUUGAGUCAUGGUGGGGUUGCCGGAACAUGUGGUGUAGCGGUGAAAUGCAUAGAUAUCACAUAGAACACCGAUCGCGAAGGCAGGUGACCAACCAUCGACUGACGCUGAUGGACGAAAGCGUGGGUAGCGAACGGGAUUAGAUACCCCGGUAGUCCACGCCGUAAACGAUGGAUACUAGCUGUGGGGGCUACA
rnacentral:rRNA from 1 species